GACGAACGCUGGCGGCGUGCUUAACACAUGCAAGUCGAACGGAAAGGCCCUGCUUUUGUGGGGUGCUCGAGUGGCGAACGGGUGAGUAACACGUGAGUAACCUGCCCUUGACUUUGGGAUAACUUCAGGAAACUGGGGCUAAUACCGGAUAGGAGCGCCUGCUGCAUGGUGGGGGUUGGAAAGUUUCGGCGGUUGGGGAUGGACGCGCGGCUUAUCAGCUGGUUGGUGGGGUAGUGGCUUACCAAGGCUUCGACGGGUAGCCGGCCUGAGAGGGUGACCGGCCACAUUGGGACUGCGAUACGGCCCAGACUCCUACGGGAGGCAGCAGUGGGGAAUAUUGCACAAUGGGCGGAAGCCUGAUACAGCAACGCCGCGUGCGGGAUGACGGCCUUCGGGUUGUAAACCGCUUUCGCCUGUGACGAAGCGUGAGUGACGGUAAUGGGUAAAGAAGCACCGGCUAACUACGUG
rnacentral:rRNA from 1 species